rnacentral:rRNA from 1 species
AGAGCGAACGCUGGCGGCAGGCCUAAUACAUGCAAGUCGAACGAGCCCUUCGGGGCUAGUGGCGGACGGGCGAGUAACACGUGGGAACGUGCCUUUUGGUUCGGAACAACUCAGGGAAACUUGAGCUAAUACCGAAUGUGCCCUUCGGGGGAAAGAUUUAUCGCCAUUAGAGCGGCCCGCGUCUGAUUAGCUAGUUGGUGAGGUAAAGGCCCACCAAGGCUACGAUCAGUAGCUGGUCUGAGAGGAUGAUCAGCCACACUGGGACUGAGACACGGCCCAGACUCCUACGGGAGGCAGCAGUAGGGAAUCUUGCGCAAUGGGCGAAAGCCUGACGCAGCCAUGCCGCGUGAAUGAUGAAGGUCUUAGGAUUGUAAAAUUCUUUCAGCGGGACGAUAAUGACGGUACCGCAGAAGAAGCCCGGCUAACUCGCGCCAGCAGCCGC